rnacentral:rRNA from 1 species
GCAAAGCAAGCUUGCUGCUUCGCUGACGAGUGGCGGACGGGUGAGUAAUGUCUAGGGAAACUGCCUGAUGGAGGGGGAUAACUACUAGGAAACGGUAGCUAAUACCGCAUAACGUCGCAAGACCAAAGAGGGGGACCUUCGGGCCUCUUGCCAUCGGAUGUGCCCAGAUGGGAUUAGCUAGUAGGUGGGGUAACGGCUCACCUAGGCGACGAUCCCUAGCUGGUCUGAGAGGAUGACCAGCCACACUGGAACUGAGACACGGUCCAGACUCCUACGGGAGGCAGCAGUGGGGAAUAUUGCACAAUGGGCGCAAGCCUGAUGCAGCCAUGCCGCGUGUAUGAAGAAGGCCUUCGGGUUGUAAAGUACUUUCAGCGGGGAGAAGGGGGGUUAUGGGGGUUAAUAACCUUUGUCGAUUGACGUUACCCGCAGAAGAAGCACCGGCUAACUCCGUGCCAGCAGCCGCGGUAAUACGGAGGGUGCAAGCGUUAAUCGGAAUUACUGGGCGUAAAGCGCACGCAGGCGGUCUGUCAAGUCGGAUGUGAAAUCCCCGGGCUCAACCUGGGAACUGCAUUCGAAACUGGCAGGCUAGAGUCUUGUAGAGGGGGGGUUAGAAAUUCCAGGGGUUUAGCGGGUGAAAUGCGUUAGAGAUUCUGGGAGGAAAUACCGGGUGGGCCGAAAGGCGGGCCCCCCUGGACAAAAGACUGACGCUCAGGUGCGAAAGCGUGGGGAGCAAACAGGGAUUAGAUACCCUGGUAGUCCACGCCGUAAACGAUGUCGAUUGGAGGUGUGCCCUGAGGCGUGCUUCCGGAGCUACGCGUUAAGUCGACCGCCUGGGGAGUACGGCCGCAAGGUUAAAACUCAAAUGAAUUGACGGGGCCCGCACAAGCGGUGGAGCAUGUGGUUUAAUUCGAUGCAACGCGAAGAACCUUACCUGCUCUUGACAUCCAGAGAACUUAGCAGAGAUGCUUUGGUGCCUUCGGGAACUGUGAGACAGGUGCUGCAUGGCUGUCGUCAGCUCGUGUUGUGAAAUGUUGGGUUAAGUCCCGCAACGAGCGCAACCCUUAUCCUUUGUUGCCAGCGGUUAGGCCGGGAACUCAAAGGAGACUGCCAGUGAUAAACUGGAGGAAGGUGGGGAUGACGUCAAGUCAUCAUGGCCCUUACGAGCAGGGCUACACACGUGCUACAAUGGCGCAUACAAAGAGAAGCGACCUCGCGAGAGCAAGCGGACCUCAUAAAGUGCGUCGUAGUCCGGAUUGGAGUCUGCAACUCGACUCCAUGAAGUCGGAAUCGCUAGUAAUCGUGGAUCAGAAUGCCACGGUGAAUACGUUCCCGGGCCUUGUACACACCGCCCGUGCACACCAUGGGAGUGGGGUUUUGCAAAAAAA